UGUAUAUAUUGAGCUACCUUGGAACAGAUAAUAAAUUGAUGUUUUCGAUAACUGGUAAUAAUUUUGAACGUAAAUAAAAAUCGGCACAAUAACAGGAAAAAUAUGCCUAAAUAUCUGUAUACACAAACUGUAACUGGAGAAACUUUCAAUCCAGUCGAUACCAGUAAAACAUAUGGUAUACCCAUACAAAUACACGUGUAAAAACGAACACAUGCAUUGAAUGGAAUGACCUCGGCCAAAAUCGUCAAACAAGACACUUUUUUAUAAGUUCAAUCAAAACAAAGGAAAUUUUGGUGAAAAUGGAAAAAAAAUGAUUUCAAUCAAACUUACGAUAGAAUAAGCACCGCUCCGACUGAAAAGGCUCCCACAAGCAACAAAGACUUUUGUUGCUGCCACAUUAUUACAGUACGCUCGUGUAUUUCCCUGGUGUAUUUAUU